rnacentral:rRNA from 1 species
CCCGUUAACGACGCUCAUGCUCGAAGGCGCGGGUAUCAAACAGGAUUAGAUACCCUGGUAGUCCGCGCGGUAAACGAUGGACACUCGGGAUUUGCCCUAUUGGGUGAGUCCCCCAGCGAAAGCGUUAAGUGUCCCACCUGGGGAGUACGCCGGCAGCGGUGAAACUCAAAGGAAUUGACGGGGGCCCGCACAAGCGGAGGAACAUGUGGUUUAAUUCGAUGAUACGCGAGGAACCUUACCCGGGCUUGAAAUGUGCAUGACGACCCCGAGAGACCGGGGUCUCCUUCGGGCAUGCAUGUAGGUGCUGCAUGGUUGUCGUCAGCUCGUGCCGUGAGGUGUCGGCUCAAGUGCCAUAACGAGCGCAACCCCUUCCGCCGGUUACCAUCGGGUUAUGCCGGGGACUCCGGCGGCACUGCCGCCGCAAGGCGUGAGGAAGGCGGGGAUGACGUCAAAUCAGCACGGCCCUCACGUCCGGGGCCACACACGUGUUACAAUGGGGGGCACAGCGAGCAGGACCAGGGCGACCUGGUUCGAAUCAAUAAAUCCCCUCCCAGUUCGGACUGGAGUCUGCAACCCGACUCCACGAAGCCGGAUUCGCUA